CCUACGGGAGGCAGCAGUGGGGAAUAUUGGGCAAUGGGCGCAAGCCUGACCCAGCAACGCCGCGUGAAGGAAGAAGGCUUUCGGGUUGUAAACUUCUUUUCUGAGGGACGAAGAAAGUGACGGUACCUCAGGAAUAAGCCACGGCUAACUACGUGCCAGCAGCCGCGGUAAUACGUAGGUGGCAAGCGUUAUCCGGAUUUAUUGGGUGUAAAGGGCGUGUAGGCGGGAAAGCAAGUCAGCGGUAAAAUUGCGGGGCUCAACCUCGCCGAGCCGUUGAAACUGCUCUUCUAGAGUGGGCGAGAAGUAUGCGGAAUGCGUGGUGUAGCGGUGAAAUGCAUAGAUAUCACGCAGAACUCCGAUUGCGAAGGCAGCAUACCGGCGCCCAACUGACGCUCAUGCACGAAAGCGUGGGUAUCGAACAGGAUUAGAUACCCCAGUAGUC
rnacentral:rRNA from 1 species